rnacentral:RNase_P_RNA from 1 species
GGAGCAGUCCAAACGAUCGCUGGAUCAUCUUGUUUGAUCUGGAGGAAAGUCCGAACACCGCAGGGCAGGGUGCUUCAUAACGCGAAGUCGCGGUAACGUGAAGGAAAGUGCAACAGAAAGUAUACCGCCCAGUGAGUUUCAGGCUGUGCCUGACUUGCAGGGUAAGGGUGAAAAGGUGCGGUAAGAGCGCACCAGUUCCCCGGGUGACCGGGGAAGCUUGGUAAACCCCACCUGGUGCAAGACCAAAUAGAGGAGUGUUUGAGGGUAGCCCGUCCGAGCUCCCGGGUAGGUCGCAAGAGGUGUCGGGCAACCGGCACCCAUAGAUGAAUGAUCGUUACCCUGUUGGGGGUAACCCUUGCAGGGAACAAAAUUCGGCUUAUGGACUGUUCCGGCC